rnacentral:rRNA from 1 species
CGUGUAGGCGGUCGGUUAAGUCUGAUGUGAAAGCCCGAGGCGUCAGCUUCGGAAGUGCAUCGGGAAAACUAGCCGGCUGGAGCGCGAUAGAGGAGGGUGGAAUUCCUGGUGUAGCGGUGAAAUGCGUAGAUAUCAGGAGGAACACCGGCGGCGAAGGCGGCCCUCUGGAUCGUUGCUGACGCUGAGACGCGAAAGCGUGGGGAGCAAACAGGAUUAGAUACCCUGGUAGUCCACGCUGUAAACUAUGGGUACUAGGUGUUCGGGGUAUUGACCCCCUGAGUGCCGCAGUUAACGCAUUAAGUACCCCGCCUGGGGACUACGGCCGCAAGGUUAA